rnacentral:pre_miRNA from 1 species
UGGGCUUGUCUUAAGUCAAACCUUUUUAAAUUUGACCAAGAUUUUAGAAAAAUAUAGCAAUAUUUCUAAAACAAAAUAAAUGUGCUACAAAAAUAUAUUCAAUGGUGGAUUUAACGAAACCAAUUUGGUUUUGUGAAUGUUAGUACAUUUUUCUAUAAAAUUGAUCAAACUUGAAGAUGUUUGACUAAGGAGAAACCCAA